CUAUACAUGACUCUGGCGCAUAUCAAAAGCGGAGGAAAAGUAAAUGCUGUAUACCUACGCUUAGGAUGUUGACGAGACUGUCGAUCUCAUCUAUACAUGACUCUGCGCAUAUCAAUAAGCGGAGGAAAAGACUCGAACUACCCCUACGCUUAGGAUGUUGACGAGACUGUCGAUCUCAUCUAUACAUGACUCUGCGCAUAUCAAUAAGCGGAGGAAAAGAAACUAACAAGGAUUCCUCUAGUAACGGCGAGUGAAGCGGGAAGAGCUCAAAUUUGAAAUCUUCAAGGUUUGACCUUGACGAAUUGUAGUUUAAAGAGGUGUUUUCUGUUGGAGUUUUGGUAAAAGUUCUUUGGAAUAGGACAUCAUAGAGGGUGAGAAUCCCGUAUUUGACCAUUAUUUCCAGCUGUGUGAUACACUUUCAAAGAGUCGGAUUGUUUGGGAAUGCAGUCCAAAAUGGGUGGUAAAUUUCAUCUAAAGCUAAAUAUUGGCGAGAGACCGAUAGCGAACAAGUACCGUGAGGGAAAGAUGAAAAGAACUUUGAAAAGAGAGUUAAACAGUACGUGAAAUUGUCAAAAGGGAAGCGUUUGACACCAGUGUUGUUUUCUCGAAAAUCAAUUAAAAAUGAUGGGAUUUUGUGUUGUAUUGACUUUAUCAGCUUUCUGCACUUUUUUCUUAUCUUUCUUAAUGCACUUUUCGGUUAACAAGUCAACAUCAAUUUCUUUUGUUGUAAAAGGGUAUGAGGAAGGUGGCUUUCUUUUCGGAGAAAGUGUUUAUAGCCUUGUACCUCUGCAAUCGGAGAGAUUGAGGUCUGCAGCGUAGAUCCUUCGGGGUUAGAUACAUUUGUGCUAAGUUAUAGCUUUUCAUAGACAACUUGUUGACUAUGAUCAGUCAUGUAGCUUACUCGCUUAUGUCAUUUUACCUACGCUUAGGAUGUUGACGAGACUGUCGAUCUC
rnacentral:rRNA from 1 species